AACCUCCGCAAUGUGAGAAAUCGCGACGGGGGGAUCCCAAGUGCCAUUCUUAACGGGAUGGCUUUUCAUUAGUGUAAAGAGCUUUUGGAAUAAGAGCUGGGCAAGACCGGUGCCAGCCGCCGCGGUAACACCGGCAGCUCUAGUGGUAACAAUUUUUAUUGGGCCUAAAGCGUCCGUAGCCGGUUUAAUAAGUCUCUGGUGAAAUCCUGUAGCUUAACUGUGGGAAUUGCUGGAGAUACUAUUAGACUUGAGAUCGGGAGAGGUUAGAGGUACUCCCAGGGUAGAGGUGAAAUUCUGUAAUCCUGGGAGGACCGCCUAUUGCGAAGGCGUCUAACUGGAACGAUCCUGACGGUGAGGGACGAAAGUUAGGGGCGCGAACCGGAUUAGAUACCCGGGUAGUCCUAACUGUAAACGAUGCGGACUUGGUGUUGGGGUGGCUUUGAGCUGCUCCAGUGCCGAAGGGAAGCUGUUAAGUCCGCCGCCUGGGAAGUACGGUCGCAAGACUGAAACUUAAAGGAAUU
rnacentral:rRNA from 1 species